rnacentral:misc_RNA from 1 species
AAGUCGUAACAAGGUUUCCGUAGGUGAACCUGCGGAAGGAUCAUUCACACAGUGUUGAGGGGUUUGGAGGGCAACCUCCUUCUUCUCUUCUUUGAAUUUAACAAUUUAAUCUAACUGAGCCGUGUCACUCAAAUCCCCAGUACGCAUAUGUCCAAGAGGCUGUGCCGACCGGGUCGAGGCCUCCUAACCGCGGGUGUUAGCAAGUGCUUCGAACCUCGCAUUACAGCAGGAAAAGAACAUUCGCUGGUGCAGGCCGUAUAACAGUAUUAUGACGUAUCGUCACCUCUUUGGAGUUCUGUCGUUCGAGCCUAGCUCGGGAGGACAAGAGCCAAAGAUGAACAUGCGGGAUUCAUUGCUGGUCUCGCUGUUCGAAACAAUAAAUCGUAUAAUCGAAAACAACUCUUUGCAAUGGAUAUCUUGGUUCUC